GACAGAGGGUGCAAACGUUGUUCGGAAUUACUGGGCGUAAAGCGAGUGUAGGCGGUUUCCUAAGUCAGGUGUGAAAGCCCCGGGCUCAACCCGGGAAGUGCACUUGAAACUGGGAGGCUAGAGUAUCGGAGAGGUUGGUGGAAUUCUCGGUGUAGAGGUGAAAUUCGUAGAUAUCGAGAGGAACACCGGAGGCGAAGGCGGCCGACCUG
rnacentral:rRNA from 1 species